AUGUCGUCGUCGCCGUCGUGCUGGGAGUCGAUCACCUCGGCCGUCUUGCCGGCAAACCCGACGUCGCGGGAGGCGGCGCUGCGGGAGCAGCUGCUGGAGCGGGAGGCCGCCGCGUCGCAGCGCGCGGCCGUGCAGCGCCUGACGGAGCGAGCCGACGCGCUGCAGCGCAGGAUCGACGACGUGGUCCGCGAGACUGCGGCGGCGCAGGAGGCCGCGUCCAGCGCGGAGAGGCGCCAGCGGGAGGCCGAGGACCAGCGGAGGAUCGCCGUGAGGACGUACGAGAUGCACGAGGAGAAGCUGCGGGUGCUGGCCAAGGAGCUCAAGGUCAAGGAAGGCCGCUUCAGGGUCCUGGAUGCCAUCCUCACGAGUUAA
rnacentral:rRNA from 1 species